rnacentral:rRNA from 1 species
AGAGUUUGAUCAUGGCUCAGGACGAACGCUGGCGGCGUGCUUAACACAUGCAAGUCGAACGGAAAGGCCCUGCUUUUGUGGGGUGCUCGAGUGGCGAACGGGUGAGUAACACGUGAGUAACCUGCCCUUGACUUUGGGAUAACUUCAGGAAACUGGGGCUAAUACCGGAUAGGAGCUCCUGCUGCAUGGUGGGGGUUGGAAAGUUUCGGCGGUUGGGGAUGGACUCGCGGCUUAUCAGCUUGUUGGUGGGGUAGUGGCUUACCAAGGCUUUGACGGGUAGCCGGCCUGAGAGGGUGACCGGCCACAUUGGGACUGAGAUACGGCCCAGACUCCUACGGGAGGCAGCAGUGGGGAAUAUUGCACAAUGGGCGGAAGCCUGAUGCAGCAACGCCGCGUGCGGGAUGACGGCCUUCGGGUUGUAAACCGCUUUCGCCUGUGACGAAGCGUGAGUGACGGUAAUGGGUAAAGAAGCACCGGCUAACUACGUGCCAGCAGCCGCGGUGAUACGUAGGGUGCGAGCGUUGUCCGGAUUUAUUGGGCGUAAAGGGCUCGUAGGUGGUUGAUCGCGUCGGAAGUGUAAUCUUGGGGCUUAACCCUGAGCGUGCUUUCGAUACGGGUUGACUUGAGGAAGGUAGGGGAGAAUGGAAAUUCCUGGUGGAGCGGUGGAAUGCGCAGAUAUCAGGAGGAACACCAGUGGCG